rnacentral:rRNA from 1 species
GAUAAACGCUGGCGGCGUGCCUUACACAUGCAAGUCGAACGGAUUCAAGAGGCUUGCUUCUUGAGUUAGUGGCGAACGGGUGAGUAAAGCAUCGGAACGUACCCAGUUGUGGGGGAUAACGUAGCGAAAGUUACGCUAAUACCGCAUACGCACUGAGGUGGAAAGCGGGGGACCGAAAGGCCUCGCGCAAUUGGAGCGGCCGAUGUCGGAUUAGCGAGUUGGUGAGGUAAAGGCUCACCAAGGCGACGAUCCGUAGCUGGUCUGAGAGGACGACCAGCCACACUGGAACUGAGACACGGUCCAGACUCCUACGGGAGGCAGCAGUGGGGAAUUUUGGACAAUGGGCGAAAGCCUGAUCCAGCCAUGCCGCGUGAGUGAAGAAGGCCUUCGGGUUGUAAAGCUCUUUCAGACGGAAAGAAAUCUUUCGGGUGAAUAUCCCGGAAGGAUGACGGUACCGUAAGAAGAAGCACCGGCUAACUACGUGCCAGCAGCCGCCGUAA